rnacentral:rRNA from 1 species
UGAGGAAUAUUGGUCAAUGGGCGUGAGCCUGAACCAGCCAAGCCGCGUGAGGGAAGAAGGCGCCAGGCGUCGUAAACCUCUUUUGCCGGGGAACAAAGGGCGCCACGUGUGGCGUUGUGAGUGUACCCAGAGAAAAAGCAUCGGCUAACUCCGUGCC